UACGGAGGGGGCUAGCGUUGUUCGGAAUUACUGGGCGUAAAGCGUACGUAGGCGGCUUUGUAAGUUAGAGGUGAAAGCCCGGGGCUCAACUCCGGAAUUGCCUUUAAGACUGCAUCGCUUGAAUCAUGGAGAGGUUAGUGGAAUUCCGAGUGUAGAGGUGAAAUUCGUAGAUAUUCGGAAGAACACCAGUGGCGAAGGCGACUAACUGGACAUGUAUUGACGCUGAGGUACGAGAGCGUGGGGAGCAAACAGG
rnacentral:rRNA from 1 species